rnacentral:tRNA from 1 species
GCGGGAAUUGCCAAGUCUGGUCAAAGGCUAUAAUGAGUUGAUCGAAAGCUGACUUUAGGCGGUGGACUUAGAAUCCAUUCUCGUAGGAGUUCGGGAGUUCAAAUCUCCCUUCCCGCA